rnacentral:lncRNA from 1 species
UAUAACUACAAUGUUAGCUGUAGGCCUGUCCUCUGGUCCUCCUGGUGGUUUAACUACAAUGUUAGCUGUAGGCCAGCCCUCUGGUCCUCCUGGUGGUUUAACUACAAUGUUAGCUGUAGGCCAGCCCUCUGGUCCUCCUGCUGUUAUAACUACAAUGUUAGCUGUAGGCCAGCCCUCUGGUCCUCCUGGUGGUUCAACUACAAUGUUAGCUGUAGGCCAGCCCUCUGGUCCUCCUGCUGUUAUAACUACAAUGUUAGCUGUAGGCCUGUCCUCUGGUCCUCCUGGUGGUUUAACUACAAUGUUAGCUGUAGACCUGCCCUCUGGUCCUCCUGGUGGUUUAACUACAAUGUUAGCUGUAGGCCAGCCCUCUGGUCCUCCUGCUGUUAUAACUACAAUGUUAGCUGUAGGCCUGUCCUCUGGUCCUCCUGGUGGUUCAACUACAAUGUUAGCUGUAGGCCAGUCCUCUGGUCCUCCUGGUGGUUCAACUACAAUGUUAGCUGUAGGCCAGUCCUCUGGUCCUCCUGGUGGUUCAACUACAAUGUUAGCUGUAGACCUGUCCUCUGGUCCUCCUGCUGUUAUAACUACAAUGUUAGCUGUAGGCCAGCCCUCUGGUCCUCCUGGUGGUUUAACUACAAUGUUAGCUGUAGGCCUGUCCUCUGGUCCUCCUGGUGGUUUAACUACAAUGUUAGCUGUAGGCCAGCCCUCUGGUCCUCCUGGUGGUUUAACUACAAUGUUAGCUGUAGGCCAGCCCUCUGGUCCUCCUGGUGUUAUAACUACAAUGUUAGCUGUAGGCCUGUCCUCUGGUCCUCCUGCUGUUAUAACUACAAUGUUAGCUGUAGGCCUGUCCUCUGGUCCUCCUGGUGGUUUAACUACAAUGUUAGCUGUAGGCCAGCCCUCUGGUCCUCCUGGUGGUUUAACUACAAUGUUAGCUGUAGGCCAGCCCUCUGGUCCUCCUGGUGGUUUAACUACAAUGUUAGCUGUAGGCCAGCCCUCUGGUCCUCCUGGUGUUGUAACUACAAUGUUAGCUGUAGGCCUGUCCUCUGGUCCUCCUGGUGGUUUAACUACAAUGUUAGCUGUAGGCCUGUCCUCUGGUCCUCCUGGUGGUUUAACUACAAUGUUAGCUGUAGGCCAGCCCUCUGGUCCUCCUGGUGGUUUAACUACAAUGUUAGCUGUAGGCCUGUCCUCGGGUCCUCCUGGUGGUUCAACUACAAUGCUAGCUGUAGGCCUGUCCUCUGGUCCUCCUGGUGGUUUAACUACAAUGUUAGCUGUAGGCCUGUCCUCUGGUCCUCCUGGUGGUUUAACUACAAUGUUAGCUGUAGGCCUGCCCUCUGGUCCUCCU